CCCUUAGAUGUUCUGGGCUGCACGCGUGCUACACUGAUUCUUUCAACAAGUGUUUUAACUGGAGAGUUCGCGUAAUCCUGAAAUGUUAUCGUGAUGGGAGUAGAGUAUUGUAUUUGUUAAUCUUUAACGAGGAAUUCCUAGCAAGUGUAGGUUUAUAAGUUGUUCUGAUUACGUCCCUGCCCUUUGUACACACCGCCCGUCGCUCCUACCGAUUGAUUGAUCCGGUGAAUUACAUAGAAUUUUGCGUUUUACAUGACGGAAGACGAAGUGUUUUAAACCUUAUCAUUUAGAGGAAGGAGAAGUCGUAACA
rnacentral:rRNA from 1 species